rnacentral:miRNA from 1 species
GAAAAAAAAAAAAGCAAGAGAAAAGAAAAGGAGAAGGAACGGAGAAGCGUGUUUGACAAGAGAAGGGCAAGGCGCUUUUGUUGAAGAAGGGUUUUCUUUCGAAAUCGCACGUCACGCCCUUCUUUAGGUUUGUUUUUUCCCGCAUUGCCUUGUUUUGCUUUUCGCUCUUCACCUCGACGCGUCGGCUUACCUUUUUCUCCUUUUCUUUUCCUUGCCCUUUUUUUUC